AUGGGAAAUAUAUGUAAUUCCUCUUAUUUAUUUGAGGCGUCUGUGAAAUAUGGUGAGGCUCCAGUGUUCUCACCUGUUGAAGCAUUGAUCCCCAUGGUGGUGGGAGUACUCAUAAACUCAUCCUACGGAAUCAGAGGGAUCAUAUCUCAAACAAGGUCUGAACCGGCCCCUCUAGCUGGGGUGGAACUAGUAGAUACGCCAGCAGCUUCAU
rnacentral:lncRNA from 1 species